GCAGCUCGUAAGCUCAUGCUGCAUUCAAGUGCACCUCAAGAAACUCAGGCUGUUGUUGUUCAGUACACUGCUGCC